rnacentral:rRNA from 1 species
AUACGUAGGGGGCGAGCGUUGUCCGGAAUGAUUGGGCGUAAAGGGCGCGUAGGCGGCGCGGUAAGUCUGGAGUGAAAGUCCUGCUUUCAAGGUGGGAAUUGCUUUGGAUACUGCCGCGCUUGAGUGCAGGAGAGGUUAUCGGAAUUCCCGGUGUAGCGGUGAAAUGCGUAGAGAUCGGGAGGAACACCAGUGGCGAAGGCGGGUAACUGGACUGCAACUGACGCUGAGGCGCGAAAGUGUGGGGAGCAAACAGGAUUAGAUACCCUGGUAGUCCACACUGUAAACGAUGAAUGCUAGGUGUAAGAGGUAUCGACCCCUUUUGUGCCGGAGACAACACAAUAAGCAUUCCGCCUGGGGAGUACGGCCGCAAGGUUGAAACUCAAAGGAAUUGACGGGG